CCAAAUCUCACUUUGUGUAAUAACACACACGUAUCGGCACAUAUUCCGGGGUGCCCUUUGGGGUCGGUAAUAUGGGAUACGUGGAGGCUUAACC
rnacentral:sRNA from 1 species